UGGGGAAUAUUGCACAAUGGGCGCAAGCCUGAUGCAGCCAUGCCGCGUGUAUGAAGAAGGCCUUCGGGUUGUAAAGCACUUUCAGCGGGGAGGAAGGCGAUAAGGUUAAUAACCUUGUCGAUUGACGUUACCCGCAGAAGAAGCACCGGCUAACUCCGUGCCAGCAGCCGCGGUAAUACGGAGGGUGCAAGCGUUAAUCGGAAUUACUGGGCGUAAAGCGCACGCAGGCGGUCUGUCAAGUCGGAUGUGAAAUCCCCGGGCUCAACCUGGGAACUGCAUUCGAAACUGGCAGGCUAGAGUCUUGUAGAGGGGGGUAGAAUUCCAGGUGUAGCAGUGAAAUGCGUAGAGAUCUGGAGGAAUACCGGUGGCGAAGGCGGCCCCCUGGACAAAGACUGACGCUCAGGUGCGAAAGCGUGGGGAGCAAACAGG
rnacentral:rRNA from 1 species